rnacentral:misc_RNA from 1 species
AAAAAAACCAGGCAUCAAAGAUCACGCCGACACCGACGACCACUGGAAUAUUCCCUACCGACGGACCAUUUCGAAAUUAAACAGACCAAAUCCCGAAAACUAUAUAUACCGCUUUUUCCCAUCUCCAUUUUGAGCCCUAAAAUCACACUUCCUCUCUCGGGCCUCCACCUAGACGCGCACAUGCUCUUCACUUCAAAAUUCCUCACUUUCCUUCGCUUUCCCUUACUUUCUCCCUCCAGUUCCUCGCUUCCCUUUAUCGAUUUCUCCGACAGCGCGUCAGAACGGCUCCGUCCUUUUCGCUCUUGACCUUGUCGUUCCAGAUCGCGAGGUAUG